CGAACGGGUGAGUAACACGUGGGCAACCUGCCCAAANAGGGGGAUAACACUUGGAAACAGGUGCUAAUACCGCAUAACCAUAGUUACCGCAUGGUAACUAUGUAAAAGGUGGCUAUGCUACCGCUUUUGGAUGGGCCCGCGGCGCAUUAGCUAGUUGGUGGGGUAAAGGCUUACCAAGGCAAUGAUGCGUAGCCGAACUGAGAGGUUGAUCGGCCACAUUGGGACUGAGACACGGCCCAAACUCCUACGGGAGGCAGCAG
rnacentral:rRNA from 1 species